GUCGGGGUGACCGAACGGUAAGGUGCAUGCCUGCUAUCAGCAUGUUGGCGCAAGCCUUAAUGGGUUCAACCCCCAUCCCCGACG
rnacentral:tRNA from 1 species